CUACGGGUCGCAGCAGUGAGGAAUAUUGCACAAUGGGGGGAACCCUGAUGCAGCAACGCCGCGUGGAGGAUGACGCAUCUCGGUGUGUAAACUCCUUUUAUAUGUCAAGAAAAUGACGGUAGCAUAUGAAUAAGCACCGGCUAACUCCGUGCCAGCAGCCGCGGUAAUACGGAGGGUGCAAGCGUUACUCGGAAUCACUGGGCGUAAAGGACGCGUAGGCGGGGUGGAAAGUCAGGUGUGAAAUCCUACAGCUUAACUGUAGAACUGCACUUGAAACUUCUAAUCUAGAGUAUGGGAGGGGGAGAUGGAAUUAGUGGUGUAGGGGUAAAAUCCGUAGAUAUCACUAGGAAUACCUAAAGCGAAGGCGAUCUCCUGGAACAUUACUGACGCUAAGGCGUGAAAGCGUGGGGAGCAAACAGGAUUAGAUACCCCCGUAGUC
rnacentral:rRNA from 1 species